rnacentral:rRNA from 1 species
CGCUGUGAAGAUGCAGUGUACCCGCGGCAAGACGGAAAGACCCCGUGAACCUUUACUAUAGCUUGACACUGAACAUUGAGCCUUGAUGUGUAGGAUAGGUGGGAGGCUUUGAAGUGUGGACGCCAGUCUGCAUGGAGCCGACCUUGAAAUACCACCCUUUAAUGUUUGAUGUUCUAACGUGGACCCGUGAUCCGGGUUGCGGACAGUGUCUGGUGGGUAGUUUGACUGGGGCGGUCUCCUCCUAAAGAGUAACGGAGGAGCACGAAGGUUGGCUAAUCCUGGUCGGACAUCAGGAGGUUAGUGCAAUGGCAUAAGCCAGCUUGACUGCGAGCGUGACGGCGCGAGCAGGUGCGAAAGCAGGUCAUAGUGAUCCGGUGGUUCUGAAUGGAAGGGCCAUCGCUCAACGGAUAAAAGGUACUCCGGGGAUAACAGGCUGAUACCGCCCAAGAGUUCAUAUCGACGGCGGUGUUUGGCACCUCGAUGUCGGCUCAUCACAUCCUGGGGCUGAAGUAGGUCCCAAGGGUAUGGCUGUUCGCCAUUUAAAGUGGUACGCGAGCUGGGUUUAGAACGUCGUGAGACAGUUCGGUCCCUAUCUGCCGUGGGCGCUGGAGAACUGAGGGGGGCUGCUCCUAGUACGAGAGGACCGGAGUGGACGCAUCACUGGUGUUCGGGUUGUCAUGCCAAUGGCACUGCCCGGUAGCUAAAUGCGGAAGAGAUAAGUGCUGAAAGCAUCUAAGCACGAAACUUGCCCCGAGAUGAGUUCUCCCUGAGACUUUAGGUCUCCUGAAGGAACGUUGAAGACGACGACGUUGAUAGGCCGGGUGUGUAAGCGCAGCGAUGCGUUGAGCUAACCGGUACUAAUGAACCGUGAGGCUUAACCUUACA